UAUAGACUCUUAUAUGCUCAAUAAUGAAUGAAAAAACAUAUCAGAACGCAUUUCUUUUCAUUAUUGUUAAAUGUGUGAGCAUCCUAAAGCAAAAAGUGCCAAAAUAAUAUAAGAAUUUCGCUGAAUGAUCCAUGAACUUUAAAGAGGAUGUACUUCAUAUGUUAAAAAUCAGUCAUGCAAAUUCACAAUAUAUGUAUAUCGUUAACUAAACAAAAGAGAUGAUCAGUGAUAGGGACAAAGAAAUAACAUAGAAAUUUUAUAGGAAAUAGAAGUGCAUAUAUACAGUAUACAAUUGCUGCAUAUAUACCGAGGUGUGUUACAAUGAAAGAGGUCGAGCCACUUUAUAUAUACAUUGAAUCAGCUUGCUCUCCAAGCCUGUAACAGUACUGUGAUGUCAUCAUAAUGAUGUCAGCACAUCAUGUCAUGCUACACCAAUAAUCAUCUUAAAAAUUACUUUAUUUAUUAUCUUUUCCAAUGCAAUUUUAUAGAAACGACGGUAGGUACGAGAAGAAAAUCUCUCCAAUAACAGUUUAUACCUAUAGAACUUACGACUGGAGUUCAAUGACAACAUGGUCCCUGUAGGCAUGUGCUAUAUGUGUCGCUUUGCGUGUCUAAUAUAUUGGUGACUGAACUUCAAAGUUUUCAGUCUAGAAAAAGUAAAUUACUUUAGGAUCUUUGGCUAAUCCUCAAGUAAAGAACUGAUAUAGUAGAAUUAACACCUUUACAAUUGGAACAAUAGCAGGGACGCAUCUUCCACAAUGAAAUAGACAAAUUAUUUGACCUGGCCUUUAAGGACUAAUUCAUAUUUUAGGAUUAAAAAUUGGCGAUAACCUAUUUCCCCUCCUUCACAACUAACAUUACUAACUUUUCCAAGUCCAUCAUCCUUAUCUUUAAGAAGAGUAGAGAACAAAAAUAGAUUCUGGAUAGGUUUCUAUGGAUAGUAGAUCUUCUUUUGGCAGAACUAGUUCAAGUAACAUUCAUAUAACAGAUGCAUAAUUGAAUAUAAAAGACAAUAAAAGCAUUUCGCAAAGUAUAAAUCUCUACUAGUAAUCAAACAUAGAACACUUUCUGCUGUCACUACCAUAAGGACUGUCCUGGAUAAGUUGAAACUGUACUCAAAUGAAUCAUAAAUUGACAAACAACAAUGCCAAAAGAAACACACACGCGAAUCUAGAACAUCAAAUAAAGAAUACUGAUACCUUUCUCCAAAACAGAACACAAAAGAAUCCAUUUAUUGUUUUAAGGAUCAAUUAUACAUGUUAUAGCAAGUACACGCUCAUAACAGCAAACCUGGUGUGAAGGGCAUUGUAGCUGCUUUGUAAACCCCUUUCCGAUAGUAUAUAUCAAUAAAAUUUAACCCAAUGGCCUUAUUUUUUACCCUGACCUCCCCAUCUUUGGGUUCUCCAAUUGGCACAUCCUCCCAUUUCAGGACCUGUUAUCAGUUCUACACAAUUUAAGUCAUUAUUCAACAAAAUUUACGACUCUAAUUAAAAUUCUGUGGGAGCACAAUCACAUAACAAGCCUAAAACUAGUUUUGCCUUAGUUGUAACACAGAAGAUGACAAAUGAUAAUGGACAGGUGUCCAAAGGGUAAGAUACUUGAGUUUCUGCUUGGAUGGGUAGGGAAUUUUGAAAAGAAGUAAUGUACCAUUACUUCGUCUCAAAAAUGAAGGAGCUGUUUAUAAACCAAACCUUGUCUGGUUCACGAAAUUAAUGUACUGUAAUUCAUAAAACAGCGAAAUUCACUCUUAUACAUUAGUACUCACAAUUGUUCUUUUAAUGAAUACAAGUUAACUGUCCAUGGGAAUUAAAAAAUAUGAUCCCCCUUUUUAUACAAUACUCUUUGGCAAACGACGUAAGAUAUUGUUACAUUCCAUUCUAUCAUUCCAGACCGAAACAUUACCGAGUGUCUAUAUGUCAUUCUUGUACUCAUAGUCCCAUACCCCUGAGCAACAAUGAUCAUUCAUCGGCCCUUGCAUUAUAGUACCGCGUAUAUGGAGGGUUCGAAUCUUAAUAAAGCUAGACUCGUUUCAGCAUUCUAAUUUCUGUAAUUGACCAAUAUCCACUAAAUAUUAAAUACAUGAAUGAUGUAGCAAACUGAUAUAUACAGAUUAAUAAUCAAGAGAUGAUCAAGUUAAUAACUACUGUAAACACAACAAAGUCAACAAUUCUAAAUGAUGCACACCGAUCAAUUAAAGAAGUCCUAAUGCACCCGCCCCCUAUGGGGUUCGAACCCUCAACCUCUUGUCGCUGGAGGGCUUGUUAGUCCAUGUAUAAAUCCUAAUCGAACUCUACCAUCAUCAAACUAAAUACACUACUAGCAAAUAAAAAAUAUAUAUUAUGAACUAUAAACUUCAGCUGAUAUUUGUGAUCACAACAUAAAGAUACUACAAUACAAACACACACANUUUAUAGAGUAUGGUAUGGUGACAUCCAUCAUCUCUAGCCUGUGCUGCUUUCUCUGUUGUAGAGACGGUUCCAAUAACAGUAGCACCUAGCGCAUUUGCCCACUGGCACAGAAGAGAUCCUACACCACCUGCUGCAGCAUGAACAAGAAUUGUGUGUCCAGGUUCAACCUAUAAUACAAGCUAAUAUGAGUCUCAUGCCAAGAAACACCAUAAUACUAUCAAAAGGAACACCACACGAAAUAUGCAAGCAAUGAUUUAACUUCUUAUGUCAGACCAGUGAUAUUUGAGGUGAAAGGCACAUCACGGCCUAAGAACCUCCUGAACCCAGGCAGAGAGUACUAACGUGAGGUGCAAGAUUGACAAGUUUUUAAAUGCACAGAACUAUAAUCCUGAACUCAAUAAAUGUCAAAUCAGACAUAUAAAACUGUUACCUAUGAACCAAAUGCAACUUAACUAAAUAACACAGAUACAUACAUAUUUGUAAAGUUAAGGUAUUAAACUAGGUUGCUGACCAAUAUAAGGGUCAGGUUAUACAUGCAAAUAUGGAGGAUCUUAACAUUCAGUCUCGUUACAUGGCAAAUGGCUAUAUGACCCAUGAUCUUGUAGUUUUCAUAUAUCCCUUGCUCUUUUCUAUUUAAACAAAAGUAUCUUACUACAAGUUUCUAUUGAAAUGUAGAGUCAAUAGGGUGUAUCAAAUUUUGGAAUUCACGUGCACGAACAGUUUUAUCAACUAAAGUAUAAACGAAUGGAGUGUUGGAUUGUGACAGAGAUCACAAAUGAAACCUCAUGCAAUUUGUCAAAUCCUCACAUGGUACUAAACUGUCAACUAUAGCUGCUUAAAUAGAUCGCUCCAUUCAAAAGGUAGCAAGAACUGGGCCAUGAAAGAACCUGAAUGGGCAAAGAAAAGUUUACAGAUACGAUAACAAAAGUAUAUAAGGCAAAUUAUUUUAUCAUGAACUUCCUUAAUAUAUAGCUUAUUACUAAUCAUGCAUUGAGGGGCGACAAUUUAAGUUGUGUACCUAAAUCAUAAAAUGACAGAGGCAAAAAAAAAAAUCCAACUAAAUUAGUUUUGGACUUUGAGAACUCAUAUUCUUUUCUAAUAUUGGAUGUACAUUUGGCACAUUGUGAAAGGAAUUGUCAUACAAGUCGUAGGAUGCAAAAAGUGAGAAGAAAACUGGAGUAAAAUAUUCAAAAUUCAUGUACCUUAAAACAGCGACGCACGAGAAAUUGAGCAGUCAUCCCCUUCAGCAUGACAGAGGCUGCAACAGCUGGAUCAAUAGAAGAAGGAACUGGAACCACUCUGUCCGCUGGAAGAAUCUGUUCUUCAGCGUAUGAUCCCAUUGGAUUUCCAGCAUAUGCAACAAGGUCACCUACUUUCCUGCCAGUUAGCCCAGGACCCACAGCUACCACAACACCAGCUGCCUCCAUACCUGCAAUCAAAAGCAAUAUUAAUUUAGUUUUAACCAAUUGUUAGCAUCGACAACUUUGUGUAUAACUGUAUAUAGACUCUUAUAUGCUCAAUAAUGAAUGAAAAAACAUAUCAGAACGCAUUUCUUUUCAUUAUUGUUAAAUGUGUGAGCAUCCUAAAGCAAAAAGUGCCAAAAUAAUAUAAGAAUUUCGCUGAAUGAUCCAUGAACUUUAAAGAGGAUGUACUUCAUAUGUUAAAAAUCAGUCAUGCAAAUUCACAAUAUAUGUAUAUCGUUAACUAAACAAAAGAGAUGAUCAGUGAUAGGGACAAAGAAAUAACAUAGAAAUUUUAUAGGAAAUAGAAGUGCAUAUAUACAGUAUACAAUUGCUGCAUAUAUACCGAGGUGUGUUACAAUGAAAGAGGUCGAGCCACUUUAUAUAUACAUUGAAUCAGCUUGCUCUCCAAGCCUGUAACAGUACUGUGAUGUCAUCAUAAUGAUGUCAGCACAUCAUGUCAUGCUACACCAAUAAUCAUCUU
rnacentral:lncRNA from 1 species